UACGUAGGGGGCAAGCGUUGUCCGGAUUUAUUGGGCGUAAAGAGCGUGUAGGCGGUUUUACAAGUCCGCUGUGAAAACUCGAGGCUCAACCUCGAGACGCCGAUGGAAACCAUCUAGCUAGAGUCCGGAAGAGGAGAGUGGAAUUCCUGGUGUAGCGGUGAAAUGCGCAGAUAUCAGGAAGAACACCCGUGGCUAAGGCGGCUCUCUAGUACGGUACUGACGCUGAGACGCGAAAGCGUGGGGAGCGAACAGG
rnacentral:rRNA from 1 species